GUUAUCACCUUAUGGGGAGCGUGGGAGACAUGGCUGCAGCAGUGGGUCCCUCGUUGUCUUCAUGUCUCUUCUCUGUAUUCUCUGUUUACUAGAAAAAUCCCCAGGAAAUUCCGCAAUCUUCUAAACUUGAUGAACUCUUUGUAAUAUUCUGUAGCUUCUGUUGGUCGAGUAAAAUGAUGAAUUUUUUUUUUAGGUUUUUAAACAUCACUCAUACUCGACCAAUAUACUCGAUCUCUAGGCCAUCAUUAGAGUAAAAGUUUUGAAUUUUUACUCUACCUUCACGUUACUCCUUUCUUCCUGAGAACCACAAACACAACCAAAACAAAUAAAAAAUAACAAGAAAGUAAAAAUUAUUUACAAGGAUAGUCAUGGGACUUCCUCCCAAGUGAGCUUGUUUUAAGUCUCUAGCUUGACUCCUCACACUUAUCAAGAAGAAAAUGAACUGUUGAGAGGGUCUACAUAAUCCUCUUUGAUACCAUCAUCAUACUCAGCGUCCUCCCUGUAGAGGUCUGCAGCAGAAUACUCAAUUCCCCUCUCUUCAAAAUAUGCUUCUUUCUCUUCUGGAGGGUAAUCUAUCUCUUCAGACCAUUUUGAAGUGAACUUCUUUCUCGGGAUAGUGUCGAUCCCGCCUUUAGGUUGAGCUUCCUUCUGCAACUGAUUCAGCUUACUUUUAAGUUCCUCAACAUUGUGGGCUAGCUUCUCUAUAGUUUCAUCUUGCUUAUCAGACCUCUUUUAAGUUCUUUCACUCUUUCAGUCUCAUAUCCUUCUCCUGAGAUCACUCUAUCAUUUCCAGAGGUUUUUCCAUCCUCUGUUGACCCUUGUGGAGUUUUGUUGAUGCUAAACUGCAACUUGAUAUGCUUUCCAAGGUUGAGACUUAUUUUCCCAGCACCAAUGUUGGCAGGGCCAUUUUGUUGAUUCUGUUCUUCAGCCAUUUUGAGUGGUUGUUGAGGUACAAGGUUGACUGUGUUUCUCCUUUCUCUGAUUUCGCGAGCUAUGCGGUCGAUGUUGUCGUUGAAAAGGAGGUUCUGAUUGCCUUUUGAUCGAGUUCGCAUACAACAGAGGUGUACCUGGAUCAAGAAGACAACAAGAAAAACACACAGUUAGUAACCGAAAAGAAAAUUGAAAAAGAACUUGAUCUAAGCAAGUCUGAAAUCUCAAAUGUAACAAACAAACACCCAAUUGGCAACAGCGCCAAAUUGAUAAUAGGUUUUUAAUCAAAUAAACCUAAAGCACUAUCAUGUCGUUGUACUAUUGAAGGUUGUCAAUCCAAAUGGGUGUGAUGCUAACAAUCAAGAUGUGAUCAGAGGUCACUAAGUCAAGCCAAGCAAUAACAGGUUUUGGUGUGUUCUAGCAGUCCUAAGUGAACAUGCAGAAAACAGAAAAUCAAACAGAAACAGUGAAACACUCGACCAACACAGCUCUUUGCAGAGCACUGGGUGAGGUCGAGUAACAGACAGAAAAUAAAACACAGAUACUCGACUGCACAGUCUGUUGCCAGACAACUGGGUGGUCGAGUACGAGGUCGAGUAAGAAGAAAGAAUUGUAGAAAUUAAGCGACAGAUAACAGGAUGCAGUAAACAACAAUAGAGUAAACAAAGAAUUCAAUCAGAUAAAGAAUUCCCAAGGAUGGGGUAAUUGAGUAGUUUCGUUUCCUCAGUUUACAGGUGAUUGACAUGCUCAAUAAAUUAACCCUAGACAACAAGUUCAUUAACCAAAUCUAAGUGCCACCGCAACAGAGACUCUCAAGUUAACCUAGUCCCAGACUCAAUCACCAUUGACGAGAGCUAACCUAACAGGCAUUACGAAUCAACAAGUUAAAGCCAAAACGCUCCCUGCAACCAAUACCUUGGUACAGGGUCACGAAUCUCUAAAAUUAGUGGUUCAGACAUUUCAUCGAACACCUUUUGGGCACGGAAAUGUCUGGGCUCAAAUUCCAGUUGAUUAGAAAGCAAUAGGCAUUAAGAACAACUAAUCCAGAAGGGAUCUAUCAACCAAUACUCAAUCUCCUAGCAUACUGAGAAUUCUACACUACUCUAACCCAUACUCAGAAACCUAUUCACUACUGAGACAUCAUAACAAUGAGCAUAAACGUUGAACAGGUUGAAAACAUGAUAGCAACAGUGUAACAGCAGGAUGAUAACAGAAUGAAUAACAGUAAACGAAAUCAAGAACAAAAGCUGAAUACUGAAUACUGAAUAGAUAAAGAGAAAUCCGGAUUACAAAAGGUCUAGAACAAAAGGUCUGCGGGAUAAAACUAGAUAAAAACUUCUUGUCUGCAAAAAUGUGAAGUACAUGCUACUUAUAGCCAAAUAUUCCGAAACCCUAAUACUCAAAACGACGAAGUAUUGGGACGGAUUAAGAACUGUACUCGACCGAAGUGGUCGAGUGGGAGGUCGAGUGAAUAGCUGGAGUCUUCUUUUCUUCCUUGAGCUCGAGUGUCUGGUUGAGUGCAGAAUGAAGAAGACUCUGAAGCUUGCCAUAGAGGGUGUAGUCGAGUGGUGGUGAAAGUGAUACUCGACUUCUUCCAGGUGGAGUGAUGAGGUCGAGUGGUGGUCUGAUGAUGGAGAUGAGGGCACUCGACCUCGUGGUCGAGUGAUGUGAUCGAGUGAUGGUUUGGUGAUGGAGAUGAGGGCAG
rnacentral:sRNA from 1 species